rnacentral:lncRNA from 1 species
UCUAGUGCGGCGGCGGGCGGCAGUUAGCUCUUUCUCUGGUGAUUGGUUCUUCUCUCUGACGAGAGGCUGGCUGCUAGGGUUUAGGUUUGGUGUGAUGCGAGAUAUUUAUAGCUGUCUCGCUUAAAUCUGGACCAUUCAUCGUAUUUGAUCUUGACCGUCCGAUCACGUUUAAAGAAGAAAUGUACAUGGACCAUUCAUCUCGAUUUGAUCUCGAUCGUCCGAUCGCGUUUAAAGAGAGAACAAAUC